rnacentral:rRNA from 1 species
ACGAACGCUGGCGGCGUGCUUAACACAUGCAAGUCGAACGGAAAGGCCCUGCUUUUGUGGGGUGCUCGAGUGGCGAACGGGUGAGUAACACGCGAGUAACCUGCCCUUGACUUUGGGAUAACUUCAGGAAACUGGGGCUAAUACCGGAUAGGAGCUCCUGCUGCAUGGUGGGGGUUGGAAAGUUUCGGCGGUUGGGGAUGGACUCGCGGCUUAUCAGCUUGUUGGUGGGGUAGUGGCUUACCAAGGCUUUGACGGGUAGCCGGCCUGAGAGGGUGACCGGCCACAUUGGGACUGAGAUACGGCCCAGACUCCUACGGGAGGCAGCGGUGGGGAAUAUUGCACAAUGGGCGGAAGCCUGAUGCAGCAACGCCGCGUGCGGGAUGACGGCCUUCGGGUUGUAAACCGCUUUCGCCUGUGACGAAGCGUGAGUGACGGUAAUGGGUAAAGAAGCACCGGCUAACUACGUG